CGUAUUGUAGCGUAGUGGUAGCGCGUUGUUGUUGCCAGUAGGAGGUCGCGGGUUCGAUCCCCCCUGGCACCC
rnacentral:tRNA from 1 species